rnacentral:ncRNA from 1 species
AAAGGGAAUCGGGUUAAUAUUCCCGAACCUCGACGCGGAGAUUGGCGCUCCGGCGCCUAGUGCGGCAACGCAAACGAACUCGGAAACGCCGACGUGGGUCCCGGGAAGAGUUCUCUUUUCUUGGUAAGGGGCGGCGACCCUGGAAUCGGUUCGCCCGGAGAUAGGGACAUGGGCCCCGUAAAGCAGCACGUCUCUUGUGCUGUCCGGUGAGCUCGCGUCGGCCCUUGAAAAUCCGAGGGAGACGGUGUAAUUUUCGUGCGAGGUCGUACCCAUAUCCGCAGCAGGUCUCCAAGGUGAACAGCCUCUGGCCGAUAGAACAAUGUAGGUAAGGGAAGUCGGCAAACUAGAUCCGUAACUUCGGGAAAAGGAUUGGCUCUAGGGGCUGGGUCGGUCGGGCUGAGGUACGAAGCGGGGCGCGGCGCUGUACCGGACUGGGCGAACGACGGCCUCCCUCGCGGGGGGCCAAAAAAACUAAGUAUCAUCCAAAAUUUAUUGCAACUCCUCAAAUUUCACAGGAUUUUACCAAUUGCAGUUUCAGGCAUCGCAAACAAUGUUCGUUCUGUGCAUACUCUGUUCUCUCCAUGGACAGAUAAACCAACGCCCCCUCCCAUGGUAAUUCCAUCAAUGAAAGCAAUGUAUGGGACAAGGCAUGUCGCAAUUCUAUAAUUUAACUGAUAUUCAGACCGAAAGAACUCUUGUCCUAAAAAAAUUAAAAUUAAGUGAAAAAAUAAAUAAAUAAAUUGUAUAAAGAUAUGUAUGUGUUUGAUAAAAUAAAAGUAAUGUAUAAGAUUAAGUAAAUUGACAGCCCGGCCGACUAAAUAGCUUGGUGGGUUAGUGCAUCACUUUUAAGCUUAAGGGUUUGAUAUUCUUGGU